UACGGAGGGUGCGAGCGUUGUCCGGAAUCACUGGGCGUAAAGGGCGCGUAGGCGGCCGUGUAAGUCACUUGUGAAAUCCCGGGGCUCAACUCCGGGGCUGCAGGUGAGACUGCAUGGCUAGAGCACGGUAGAGGCGAGUGGAAUUCCCGGUGUAGCGGUGGAAUGCGUAGAGAUCGGGAAGAACACCAAUGGCGAAGGCAGUCCGCUGGGCCGUUGCUGACGCUGAGGCGCGACAGCGUGGGGAGCAAACAGG
rnacentral:rRNA from 1 species